UGCCAGCCGCCGCGGUAAUACGGAGGGGGUUAGCGUUGUUCGGAAUUACUGGGCGUAAAGCGCACGUAGGCGGACUAUUAAGUCAGGGGUGAAAUCCCGGGGCUCAACCCCGGAACUGCCUCUGAUACUGGUAGUCUUGAGUACGGGAGAGGAAAGUGGAAUUCCGAGUGUAGGGGUGAAAUCCGUAGAUAUUCGGAGGAACACCAGUGGCGAAGGCGGCUUUCUGGACCGAUACUGACGCUGAGACGCGAAAGCGUGGGGAGCAAACAGGAUUAGAUA
rnacentral:rRNA from 1 species